rnacentral:rRNA from 1 species
AGCAGGCGCGCAAAUUACCCAAUCCCGACACGGGGAGGUAGUGACAAUAAAUAACAAUACGGGGCUCUUUCGGGUCUCGUAAUUGGAAUGAGUACAAUUUAAAUCCCUUAACGAGGAACAAUUGGAGGGCAAGUCUGGUGCCAGCGGCCGCGGUAAUUCCAGCUCCAAUAGCGUAUAUUAAAGUUGUUGCAGUUAAAAAGCUCGUAGUUGAAUUUCGGGAUUGACACAUCGGUCGUGCCUUAAGGGGUAUGAACUGGUGUAGUCAAUUUCUCACCUUCUGGAGAACCGCGAUGCCCUUAAUUGGGUGUCACGGGGAACCAGGACCUUUACUUUGAAAAAAUUAGAGUGUUUAAAGCAGGCAUUUUGCUUGAAUACAUUAGCAUGGAAUAAUAAAAUAGGACGGCAUGAUUCUAUUUUGUUGGUCUCUAGGAUCACCGUAAUGAUUAAUAGGGAUAGUUGGGGGCAUUAGUAUUCAAUUGUCAGAGGUGAAAUUCUUGGAUUUAUUGAAGACUAACUACUGCGAAAGCAUUUGCCAAGGAUGUUUUCAUUAAUCAAGAACGAAAGUUAGGGGAUCGAAGACGAUCAGAUACCGUCGUAGUCUUAACCAUAAACUAUGCCGACUAGGAAUCAGACGAUGUUAAUUUUUUAAUGACUCGUUUGGCACCUUACGGGAAACCA